rnacentral:rRNA from 1 species
UACGUAGGGUGCAAGCGUUGUCCGGAAUUAUUGGGCGUAAAGAGCUCGUAGGCGGUUUGUUGCGUCGGCUGUGAAAUCCCGAGGCUCAACCUCGGGUCUGCAGUCGAUACGAGCAAACUAGAGUGUUGCAGGGGAGACUGGAAUUCCUGGUGUAGCGGUGAAAGUGCGCAGAUAUCAGGAGGAACACCGGUGGCGAAGGCGGGUCUCUGGGCAACAACUGA